AUAUACAAAAAUAUCCGCCAGAGAAUUACGAGCAAAACGCUUAAAACUCUAAGGACUUGGCGGUGCCUCAAACCCACCUAGAGGAGCCUGUUCUAUAAUCGAUAACCCACGAUCUACCUCACCAUCUCUUGCCAACCAGCCUAUAUACCACCGUCGCCAGCUUACCCCGUGAGGAUACAAAAGUAAGCAAGAUAAUAUAAACCAUUAACAAGUCAGGUCAAGGUGUAGCUAACUGAGAUGGAAGAAAUGGGCUACAUUUUCUAUACUAGAAAUAACAACUCACGGAAAGGAAACAUGAAACUAGUCCAGCAAGUAGGAUUUAGCAGUAAACUG
rnacentral:rRNA from 1 species